rnacentral:tRNA from 1 species
CAAAACGUAGCUUAAUUUAAAGCUCUUCGCUUACACCGAAGCUAUAUCCGUGAAACCCUGAUCAUUUUGA